CCCGAAAGCGUUACUAGUAGCAACGGACUGCGGGCAACGUUGAGACGGAGGCGGUGCAGAAGUGAUUCUUCGCUGAGACUGCAGUGAUACGCAGAUAUCAAUUACUGAUCAACUUUCUUGUCUGGUUAUCCGGAUAUAUCAGUUGUGUGCCGCUGAUGCUGCCAACAGUUGUGCAGAGCAUGGGACUUGUCAAGCUUCUGUACAGCAUUUUCCCCAUCCUCCUCACAUCUAAUGCAAGAGUGUGGGAACGACUCCACGACUGCUACAACGGCUAUUGCGCCAUUACUACUGGAAGGGUACCUACCGGACGCCUAAUAAUGAACGCCUCCGGCGGAGGAAGGGGAUCAUCUUCGGGGUUUUUGACGUCGGCAGCGAAGGACAGACGCCGAGUGUCCUUCGGGGCGAUGUACUUUCUCAGAAUGCCCUUAACCGGAGAUCCCAUGAUGUGCAAGAACUGAUGCUUUCAACCGACGUUUUCUUCAGCUUCUGCAGAAAAUUUAGAACAGUGGUCGCGAGUCUUCUUCUUCUUCUUC